UACGUAGGGGGCAAGCGUUGUCCGGAUUUAUUGGGCGUAAAGAGCGUGUAGGCGGCCAGACAGGUCCGUUGUGAAAACUAGAGGCUUAACCUCUAGACGUCGAUGGAAACCGUCUGGCUAGAGUCCGGAAGAGGAGAAUGGAAUUCCUGGUGUAGCGGUGAAAUGCGCAGAUAUCAGGAAGAACACCCCGUGGCUAAGGCGGUUCUCUAGUACGGUACUGACGCUGAGACGCGAAAGCGUGGGGAGCGAACAGG
rnacentral:rRNA from 1 species